rnacentral:tRNA from 2 species
GCCGAAGUGGUGGAAUUGGUAGACGCGCUGCGUUCAGGGCGCAGUGGGCUUACGCCCGUCCGGGUUCGAGUCCCGGCUUCGGCA